GAUAAACGCUGGCGGCGUGCCUAAUACAUGCAAGUCGAGCGAACAGACGAGGAGCUUGCUCCUUUGACGUUAGCGGCGGACGGGUGAGUAACGCGUAGGUAACCUACCUAUAAGACUGGGAUAACUUCGGGAAACCGGAGCUAAUACCGGAUAAUAUUUCGAACCGCAUGGUUCGAUAGUGAAAGAUGGCUUUGCUAUCACUUAUAGAUGGACCUGCGCCGUAUUAGCUAGUUGGUAAGGUAACGGCUUACCAAGGCAACGAUACGUAGCCGACCUGAGAGGGUGAUCGGCCACACUGGAACUGAGACACGGUCCAGACUCCUACGGGAGGCAGCAGUAGGGAAUCUUCCGCAAUGGGCGAAAGCCUGACGGAGCAACGCCGCGUGAGUGAUGAAGGUCUUCGGAUCGUAAAACUCUGUUAUUAGGGAAGAACAAACGUGUAAGUAACUGUGCACGUCUUGACGGUACCUAAUCAGAAAGCCACGGCUAACUACGUG
rnacentral:rRNA from 1 species